rnacentral:lncRNA from 10 species
CUGAAUGUUACCACCUUUUAAGAUCAAAAAAGGCAGGAUUAAGGGACCUAGAUUGUGUUUUGCGACAGCGAUGUUUUAUUCCAGUGAGCUGGACGUGGCUCUUUUAGUCUUUCAGAGGUCUGCCCUUUUUGCUGGGAAACAACUAAUUUGAACCAAGAUGCUGAUGAGCGGUGCUAGGAUUUGUCUUUAAUUAGCGGUCAUUUGAAACCAGCAGACAAGCAAGGGUGCAGAACACUUCCCAGCCCCUCCGCAGUCACAUUAGAUGCCUCCACUCUUGGACAAGGCAGCUCCUAGCAGCAUCACCCCUUCAUAGCUGUUCAAGCUGAGGAAGGCCUUCGAUAGAGACAUCACUGAAAAUGCCACACUGUGCCUGAAAUCUGCUGAAAACACAACUCACCUCAUGGAUCUCAAAAUAUCUCUGAGCCAGUCAGUGCAAAACCAGAGAUGAAGAAAUGGAGAUGAGAGAAGAUAAAUGACUUUCUCAACUUCCCAGAGCCAGGAUGAGAAGCCACAUCUAGUGAAUAACUGACUCUCUCCACUACGUCUUCUUCUCUGCUACAUAUUCAAUGUCAGGGGUCUCAGCCCCUACCCCCAAGAGAGACAAGGUUUUGGUGAAUGUGAGGCAAAAAUGCCAUUCUCUGGAUGUGCUCAUAGGACAGAUUAAAUACUACUAUUCCAAUUGCUGAACAGAGGAACUAGAAACAAAGAACCUCUAAAAUGAGAAAAACAGAUAAGCUUUGUAUAGGAGAUCCCCAGAGCCAACCAAAGAUUGGGUAAAAGGAGAUACUACCUGGCUCUGCCAGGUAUUCAAUAUUGAAUACCUCAGUUUCUCCCAAUUGAAGUGUGUAAGAAUGAACUGGGGCCUACCUUGCCUCCAUUGGCCUUGAACCUUCAGGGCCCUGGUUUCUUCUGCAUGUAGAUCAUUUCCUAGGAACUGCUCUGCCUCCUGAGCCCCAGAUACAAUAUUUCUUGGGAUGAUCAACGUUCUUACAGAUCAGCACUGCUCCUGCCACCAAAAUUCUCCAUAGGCGCCCUUAAAUAAAUACAAUUCUUACACUUGGUUGUGCAACUGAAUUGGUCUUUGAUUUAUAUACACAUUAAAAAGUGUAUUACUGUGUGGCAUAUAAUUUAGAAUUGAUUAAAUGUGAUAGUAUGGUCAUUAAAACAAUACAUGGCAUCAGACAUUUGGUUACAAACAUAACCCUGUUAUUGCAGCAUUGCUCCUAUGCGAAAAUCACAAUAUUUUCAUUUAUUAUACCUCUUUGACUAAUGCGACCCAUUGUAAGUUUAAGUAUUUCUUGUCCUAGUGUUACUAUUUAUAAUCAUUGAAAGUCUGUUGAAUUCAUUAAGAAGAGAUUGAUUAUGAGAAUAUUGCCAACUCUAAUGUAUUAUUUGUCGGGUAAUCAAAAUUUUAAAAACAGAGAGAGGCCAGGUGCAGUGGCUCAUGCCUGUAAUCCCAGCACUUAGGGAGGCUGAGGCGGAUGAUCACGAGGUCAGGAGUUCAAGACCAGCCUGGCCAAUGUGGUGAAACCCUGUCUCUACUAAAACAUACAAAAAUGAGCCAGGCGUGGUGGCAUGCGCCUGUAAUCCCAGCUACUCAGGAGGCUGAGGCAGGAGAACUGCUUGAACCUGGGAGGCGGAAGUUGCAGUGAGCUGAGAUCGCACCACUGCACUCCGGCCUGGGCGAGAGAGUGAGACUCCGUCUCAAACAAAACAAAACAAACAAACAAACAAACAAAAACAAAAAACAGAGAGGGACGAACACAUACAUUAUGGGCAGUAGGGUAUGAAAAGGAAGGAAAAAUGACUCCCUUUAUUGAAAAGAGAGAAGUUUUUCUUCACCAUAUUAAUUAAUACUAAUUAAUAAUUGACUUUUAUGUACUUGCAGUCAGUACUACAUUGCCCUGUUUUAAAAAAUAGAAAACAGUAUUCCCAAUGGCUUUUCUCUUUUGUUCUGUAACAUUAAAAAUUUUUUACUUUGACACCCUGCUGAUCCAAUCUAAUCCAGCAAGGAAAGGCAGGCAAAGUCAGAGGACAGACCAUUGUGAAUUUUAUAUCCCUUUCUAGACACACAACUGUAAGCUCAAAAAUUCAUUCUCUUAUACAUUUUACUUGAAUUAGUUAUCAACUCCAAAUUUCAUGUUCCACCUCUUUGCAUAUUUAUAGAGCCCUUAAAAGUCUUCAAAACAAGUUCAGUCCUAUUGGCUUGUCCUUUCAUAUUCCAACACUACGUUGUCACAUACAAAAGUCUGACUAUACAGUGCGUCUUCCAGAGCAUAUUAUUAAGAUGCUAAGUGAUACCAGGCUCAGCAGUGAAGGCUAAGACCACUUUGGUAACCCUUUCCUAAUGUCAAAUAUUCCUUUUUGUCUUUCCUGUUGGUUUGAAAAAACUCAUUUCCUUAUAUUCAAGUUUUUAGACACUUUUUCUCUGAGUCUGUAAGAGGAAAAUUUUUGACAGCAGAAAAUAUGAAUUGAACUUUCUCACAUCUAUUGUGAGUGUGGGGAUAACAACUCAAGAUCUCUGGUUUAUAUAAAAGAAAUAAACAUCUCUUUUCAUGCAAUUUUCUUAGCAAGUUUGCUGUGAUUGGUCUUUUAUCAUCCAUUCAUUCAACAUCGAUUGAUGACCUAAAAUGUGCCUUUACCUCAACAUUUUCCUAAAUCCUAUGAUAAUUUGGUGUUUUGUUUUAUUUUACAGCUUUGGGAAUAAAACAUUGUUUUAAAAUUCAAAAUAAAUUAUGUAAAUGAUAACCCUUAUUUAUGUUCUUUUUUGGGUAAAACCUAAAGGAUUAUUGAUAGAUGAUUUCUCUCAAUAAAAAUUUAUAAAUACCCCUCAGAGGGCCUUGGAAUGACCUUCCUUUCACUUUUCCUGCUGAUGAGACUUCAGAUGUGGUGGUGCUAUUUGAGGUCAUAUGCACACAUGUAACCACUCUAAGAGGAUAUAGAACAAGAUGGAAGAAGCCAGAGUCUGUGAAUCAUGAAGACCCCAUAUUAGCCCCAAUAAGAUAUUCUUAGUUUUGUGUUGAAUGAUACUACCUUCGAUUGUAGCCUUG